GACGAACGCUGGCGGCGUGCUUAACACAUGCAAGUCGAACGGAAAGGCCCUGCUUUUGUGUGGUGCUCGAGUGGCGAACGGGUGAGUAACACGUGAGUAACCUGCCCUUGACUUUGGGAUAACUUCAGGAAACUGGGGCUAAUACCGGAUAGGAGCUCCUGCUGCAUGGUGGGGGUUGGAAAGUUUCGGCGGUUGGGGAUGGACUCGCGGCUUAUCAGCUUGUUGGUGGGGUAGUGGCUUACCAAGGCUUUGACGGGUAGCCGGCCUGAGAGGGUGACCGGCCACAUUGGGACUGAGAUACGGCCCAGACUCCUACGAGAGGCAGCAGUGGGGAAUAUUGCACAAUGGGCGGAAGCCUGAUGCAGCAACGCCGCGUGCGGGAUGACGGCCUUCGGGUUGUAAACCGCUUUCGCCUGUGACGAAGCGUGAGUGACGGUAAUGGGUAAAGAAGCACCGGCUAACUACGUG
rnacentral:rRNA from 1 species